GCCACAGCUCAGUGGAAGAGUGUCUGCUCUGCAUUCAGAAGGUCCUGGGUUCAAUCCUUGUCGUCCCCAGGUAGCA